UGAAAAAUGAAAAAAAAGAUGGGGGCAAAACAAAAACUGUUGUGCCGUCGAGGGAUGAAGAACAAGAUUCAGAUAUUGUUCUAGAGGAUCAUACAUGAUCUCACCUUUAGAGUUUGAUAACAGAUCUUGAUCCAAGGAGCCCCAAGGAUUGCAAAUAUUUUCUUUGGAGAGAUAUGGACAUUAAUCUUCGAUCGCACUUCAUUAUCUCCAAACUUGUGGCCUGAAUUAAUCAGUUAGAGUUGCAGCUGGUAUCUCAUAAUAAUGACGACAUUCCUAAUGCUGAGGAGCAAGAAUCAAACAUUGAUGUUCAGUCAGAUGAUGGAAAUGGGAGAGGCAGCACAGUAGUAGAGGCUGAAGAGGUAGUAGAGGUUGAAGGUGAUGAGGGACAUAAAAGUCCUACUUAGAAGGAUAUAUUUCAUAUUAUUUCAAUUGUCAAAGUCAAUUCAUCUAUGCGUGUUUAUCUUUUGAUCAUAAUUUUUGUUCGCUACUAUUUUAUAUCCUGAUAUUUAUCCGAAUCACAAAAAGCUACUAAUCGUUACACAUGAUUAGGAGGACGAUAAAAGGUACAACAUGUCUUGACCAAUAUUACAUUAU